UACAGAGGGUGCGAGCGUCAAUCGGAAUUACUGGGCGUAAAGCGCGCGUAGGCGGCUUUGCAAGUCGAGUGUGAAAUUCCCAGGCUUAACCUGGGAACUGCUCUCGAGACUGCAUAGCUAGAGUAUGGGAGAGGGAAGUGGAAUUUCAGGUGUAGCGGUGAAAUGCGUAGAUAUCUGAAGGAACAUCAGUGGCGAAAGCGACUUCCUGGACCAAUACUGACGCUCAUGUGCGAAAGCGUGGGGAGCAAACAGG
rnacentral:rRNA from 1 species